GGACCCGCACAAGUAGUGGAGCAUGUGGUUUAAUUCGAAGAUACGCGCAGAACCUUACCAACACUUGACAUGUUCGUCGCGACUCUAAGAGAUUAGAGUUUUCGGUUCGGCCGGACGAAACACAGGUGCUGCAUGGCUGUCGUCAGCUCGUGUCGUGAGAUGUUGGGUUAAGUCCCGCAACGAGCGCAACCCUCACUUUUAGUUGCCAUCAUUAAGUUGGGCACUCUGAAAGAACUGCCCGUGAUAAGCGGGAGGAAGGUGUGGAUGACGUCAAGUCCUCAUGGCCCUUACGGGUUGGGCUACACACGUGCUACAAUGGUAGGUACAGAGGGAAGCCACCCCCGCGAGGGGGAGCGGA
rnacentral:rRNA from 1 species